UGGGGAAUAUUGGACAAUGGGCGAAAGCCUGAUCCAGCCAUGCCGCGUGUGUGAAGAAGGUCUUCGGAUUGUAAAGCACUUUUAGUUGGGAGGAAGGGCAGUAAGCGAAUACCUUGCUGUUUUGACGUUACCGACAGAAUAAGCACCGGCUAACUCUGUGCCAGCAGCCGCGGUAAUACAGAGGGUGCAAGCGUUAAUCGGAAUUACUGGGCGUAAAGCGCGCGUAGGUGGUUCGUUAAGUUGAAUGUGAAAGCCCCGGGCUCAACCUGGGAACUGCAUGCAAAACUGGCGAGCUAGAGUAGGGCAGAGGGUGGUGGAAUUUCCUGUGUAGCGGUGAAAUGCGUAGAUAUAGGAAGGAAAACCAGUGGCGAAGGCGACCACCUGGGCUCAUACUGACACUGAGGUGCGAAAGCGUGGGGAGCAAACAGG
rnacentral:rRNA from 1 species